UUGUGGGCCCAGCAGAGAAGACAGUAAGUACACAGCAAUUUAUAUUAUUACUCUGCCCAUUGAGACGCAACUUGGGCUCCAAUGCCUUUGUGUGUGCAUUUUAUGGGGCAAAAAGCAUUAAAAAAAAAGUGACUCACGAUUGCUCAACGUCAUCUUUCAUUGGACUUUGGGUUUGGAACCGAGCCACACAUUCAAACACACGUUUAUGUAUGUCAUUUGUUUUGCCACACUUUGUCUUUUAUCUUCACAGAUGCUACGACGUCAACUUAUUUUCUCUUAAAGCGUUCAAUAAUCAUUUUGAAAUCUCCUACGUCAACUCCAUCAUGUGGUCCUUUACGGAAUACCAAUACAGCAAAUAUAUCAGCUUUGUCUGUAUUGCACUCCGUUUGGAAUGCUCAAAUUGAUACCAGGAAAAAGACAAAGUGGAACCUCUAAAUAUUCAAUGUCCGCUUUUUCAUCCGGAGCAAAGGAGCUUGAGCAUCAUCAUCUCCAAAGAGUGACGGUACUGACCCAAUGUUCGUACCUCAGUUUUUGCCAUUUGUCUGGCUCUACUCGACCGACCUCCAAAACCCAAAAAUGCAUAUCAAUGCAUCGGAACUUGGAUGAAAGAAGGAUCUGGCCCCACCUGGUAAUUACAAACCUUUUUCA